GAUGUUCUACUUUAGGCACAGGCCAAACCGGAAACAUCAGUGCAAAAAGGACAACAAACAUUUCAGCAGUUCUCAGGGCGGUAAAUCAGUACCAUGUGCCCCAGAGACAAAUCAUAACGUGUUGUUUGAAGAAUACAAAGAAGACCAGCUUGGCCACCACCACAAGCAAAAGUAAGGAGCAAUCCUGCACAUCUUAAUAUGAGGACUGCUACAGACAAAGAAAAUGGCUAUAGAUAUAAAUUCAGUGCUGUCUGGCAAAGACAAGUGUGGAAUCCAGGGAAUACCUCGGAAGUGUCAGGGAAAUUUCAAACAUUGAGAGAGAUGUAAUAGGACCAAACAAUGAGUUGGCUGACUGUCUUCCCCCUCUCAGCAGAAA